UUCUCGUUCACGCUUCUGAAAGUUUCCGUCUUCUUCAUCUUCUUCUCUCCUCUUCCUAUCUGCUGGGAUGCCCUAGCCAAUUACCCAACCCAGCAACCUUAGCUCCACACAACGGCUAAACGCGAACCCAUCCCUCCCAUCACCCUCGAGCUCCUCCUUCUUCUCUCCGUCAUCGAUCUCACUCCCUCACCUCCGUCCAUCUCCCGCCGCCGUCGCCGAAACGAGCUUCGAAGCCACCGUGCAGUUCUGUUCCACCAUCGUGCAGCUACUGUUUCAGCUUUGAAAGCACUGUCGUGCAGCUCGGUUCCAUCGUCGCCGGGCUCGCCUUCUUUUUCCAUCACGCAGUUCUGUUCCAUCGUCGCUGGCGCUAUCUAUGUUCCUUUUUUCUUCACGUGGAACACACUCAUAAGAGCCUAUGCUAGAAUCGCAUACCAAAAACACAAGUUCAUGGAACUUUACAAAGCAAUAUUAAUGAUAGAACGAGAACAACAAAGUGCAGCGGUUAUUCCUGAUAAUUACACAUACCCUUUUGUAUUAAAGGCAUGUGCUUACUUGUUCUCUAUUUCUGAAGGAAAAUAGACUCGGCACACAAGGUGUUCGAGAAAUGUCCGAAAGAAGUGAGAUUUCAUAGAACAUCAUGAUUGACUCUUAUGCAAGUGCUGGUGAGUAUGACACUGCAUUGAGAAUGUUCUGUGAGAUGCAGAGGAUUCAUGAUCCUGACGGUUACACCAUGCAAAGUGUGAUUAGUUCCUGUGCUGGAUUGGGUGCUUUGUCUUUGGAUUUGUGGGCUCAUGCUUAUGUCUUGAAAAGGAGUGACAAGAAUAUGAUUGGAUAUUAUAUGACAAGCGAUAUAAUCUCUUCCAUUAUCCAGUCUCAGACGAAGAUGCUCCUAACUAUCACUCAAUUAUCCAGAACUCGAUGGACAUGGUAACCAUGUUACAGCGUGUUGAUAAUGGCUGGUAUAUUACACGUUCUACAUUCCUACAGGACAUUGAUCUUAUUGUUUCCAAUGCAAAGGUUUACAAUGGAGAGGAUUACAACGGUGCUCGGAUUGUGAGUAGAGCUUGUCAGCUCCGUGAUGUGAUAUAAAUGAACUUCCUUUUAUGAUUAGUUUUGAGCUGGAGCUUUUGUGCUGAUGACCAGUGUCUAUAAAUGUUCAGUUGUGGACUCACCUUGCUUCUUUUUUUCUCCUCUUUACAUUUGUCAGGUGCAUGGGAUGAUCUCACAGAUGGAUCCAGCAUUAGUUGCAUACUGUGACAAGAUUGUUGCCCAAGGUGGCCCGGUUCAUUUGUCUAAUGAAUUAAGGGGGUCUACAUUCCCUGCUACUCCCGUUGUACAAUUGGGAACUGCCACUAGAUUGAGUGCUUGACUUCGAAAUGAAAGUCAUGUCAAAUUAAAAUUCCAAAUGAUGAGACAAAUAAAUCUCUUAGGGUGAAGAGACAAAUGAUCCCUAAAAUUAUUCCACCAUAACUCUGGAAAGUUAAGACAACUUUCAGCAUAUACAUAAGUACUAUACAGUAUCUUUGGUUCAUCCUGAAAGUGUAGCAAGCCACCCGAUUCAUAACCAUUCUCCCUUAACAGGGUAUCAAUGAGGAGCGAAAUAAAGAAUAAUAUCAAUCUUGAAUAGUCGGAGUUAUCCAAUCAUUCAAAAUACUGCAUUUUAUUGCUCCUCCUUCUCCUUAGCCAUCGAAUAACGUACAUUGCUUUGUCAUACUGAUGUGAAUUCAAACAGUAUCCAUGGGACUGCAUCCUGUCAACAAGAUCAAUAACAUAGUCCUUUUUA